CUCCUACGGGAGGCAGCAGUGAGGAAUAUUGGUCAAUGGGCGAGAGCCGUGAACCAGCCAAGUAGCGUGAAGGAUGACUGCCCUAUGGGUUGUAAACUUCUUUUAUAAAGGAAUAAAGUCGGGUAUGUAUACCCGUUUGCAUGUACUUUAUGAAUAAGGAUCGGCUAACUCCGUGCCAGCAGCCGCGGUAAUACGGAGGAUCCGAGCGUUAUCCGGAUUUAUUGGGUUUAAAGGGAGCGUAGAUGGAUGUUUAAGUCAGUUGUGAAAGUUUGCGGCUCAACCGUAAAAUUGCAGUUGAUACUGGAUAUCUUGAGUGCAGUUGAGGCAGGCGGAAUUCGUGGUGUAGCGGUGAAAUGCUUAGAUAUCACGAAGAACUCCGAUUGCGAAGGCAGCCUGCUAAGCUGCAACUGACAUUGAGGCUCGAAAGUGUGGGUAUCAAACAGGAUUAGAUACCCUGGUAGUCCACACGGUAAACGAUGAAUACUCGCUGUUUGCGAUAUACGGCAAGCGGCCAAGCGAAAGCGUUAAGUAUUCCACCUGGGGAGUACGCCGGCAACGGUGAAACUCAAAGGAAUUGACGGGGGCCCGCACAAGCGGAGGAACAUGUGGUUUAAUUCGAUGAUACGCGAGGAACCUUACCCGGGCUUAAAUUGCAGAUGAAUUACGGUGAAAGCCGUAAGCCGCAAGGCAUCUGUGAAGGUGCUGCAUGGUUGUCGUCAGCUCGUGCCGUGAGGUGUCGGCUUAAGUGCCAUAACGAGCGCAACCCUUGUUGUCAGUUACUAACAGGUUCCGCUGAGGACUCUGACAAGACUGCCAUCGUAAGAUGUGAGGAAGGUGGGGAUGACGUCAAAUCAGCACGGCCCUUACGUCCGGGGCUACACACGUGUUACAAUGGGGGGUACAGAGGGCCGCUACCACGCGAGUGGAUGCCAAUCCCAAAAACCUCUCUCAGUUCGGACUGGAGUCUGCAACCCGACUCCACGAAGCUGGAUUCGCUAGUAAUCGCGCAUCAGCCACGGCGCGGUGAAUACGUUCCCGGGCCUUGUACACACCGC
rnacentral:rRNA from 1 species